CACGUAGGGCGCAAGCGUUUGUCCGGAAUUACUGGGCGUAAAGAGUGUGUAGGCGGUGCUCUAAGUUCGGUGUGAAAUCUCCUGGCUCAACUGGGAGGGUGCGCCGGAAACUGGAGUGCUUGAGCGUGGGAGAGGAAAGCGGAAUUCCUGGUGUAGCGGUGAAAUGCGUAGAUAUCAGGAGGAACACCUGUGGUGUAGACGGCUUUCUGGACCAUAGCUGACGCUGAGACACGAAAGCGUGGGUAGCAAACAGG
rnacentral:rRNA from 1 species